UACGUAGGGCGCAAGCGUUGUCCGGAAUUAUUGGGCGUAAAGAGCUCGUAGGCGGCUUGUCACGUCGGAUGUGAAAGCCCGGGGCUCAACCCCGGGUCUGCAGUGGGUACGGGCAGACUAGAGUGCAGUAGGGGAGACUGGAAUUCCUGGUGUAGCGGUGAAAUGCGCAGAUAUCAGGAGGAACACCGAUGGCGAAGGCAGGUCUCUGGGCUGUAACUGACGCUGAGGAGCGAAAGCAUGGGGAGCGAACAGG
rnacentral:rRNA from 1 species